rnacentral:lncRNA from 1 species
CCAUCCCCGGAAUCAAAUCAAUAACGAACCCGAUCUCCCGGUCUGGUGGCAAUCCCGGUAACCCCGCCGGAAAUACAUCCGGAAACUCGCAUACUACCCGAAUAUUCCCAAGUUCUGGGUGCUCCCUUUGAAUAUCCACCAUUGUCGCCAAGUAGGCCACACAUCCACCUUUAAUCAUCUUUCUUGCCCUCGUCGCCGAUACGGUCUCCGCGAAGCGCGAGCUCUUACACGCACGAUACACCAACUCUUCUUAAUUAAGCUCACG